GUUAAACUCAAAGAUGUUCCAAAACAGCAUGAGGAAUGAUCAGUGGAACAUCAUUACUUAAUAUAAACGUAAAAUUGCAUGGACUUCCGCCAUACUGAAGCUUCUUCGAUCCAGCAUGAAAAAGAUAUUAAUUCAGCAUGGUGUUAAAUAUCUGGUUUCUGAUGAAUAAUGAACGGUCCACGGCAGUGUUUGAUAUAUUUGCCUGGACAUCAGGAACAACAUUACCAGACUGAGGUUGAUGACAUUACAGCAUUGGUUCAUCAUUUCCAGAAAUAAC